rnacentral:lncRNA from 1 species
AGAUUUGACGUCCGUAUUUAUUUAUUACCCCGUGCAUUUACUAGUUUUAUGAGAUAUUCGUAUUUGCUGGCUUUAUAACUAUAUCAAAAACAUAGCGAAGAAGCAGAAAUUACGACAAUGGUGGCAGCGGUUUAGUUCUCACGUUUCAAGGAAUUUGGCACGUCUAUUUUUAGAAAUAUUAAUUUGUAUGGAACACACUAAGUGACAUAUAUUGUGUAUGGAGUGCAUUUAGCUCUAUACAUUA